rnacentral:rRNA from 1 species
UACAGAGGUCUCAAGCGUUUGUUCGGAUUCAGUUGGGCGUAAAGGGUGUGUAGGUGGCGCCGUAAGUCGGGUGUGAAAUUUCGGAUGCUUAACUCCGAAACUGCAUUCGAUACUGCGGUGCUUGAGGACUGGAGAGGAGACUGGAAUUCAUGGUGUAGCAGUGAAAUGCGUAGAGAUCAUGAGGAAGACCAGUGGCGAAGGCGGGUCUCUGGACAGUUCCUGACGCUGAGGCACGAAGGUCAGGGGAGCAAACGGG